AAGAAGGGCUGAUGGGGAAGUGUUCCUCAUGGGCUUCUGUCAUGAGUAGCAAACCACGUAGGGCAGCUUGAUUGCUCCUCAUGCAAACUUGACAUUAAGAGAUUUUGGAAGCAUGAUUUUUUGGUAUUUGGGCAGCUGGUGAUUGUUGGUCUUGGCAUCCUU
rfam:Camelus ferus unplaced genomic scaffold scaffold261, whole genome shotgun sequence.